GACGAACGCUGGCGGCGUGCUUAACACAUGCAAGUCGAACGGAAAGGCCCUGCUUUUGUGGGGUGCUCGAGUGGCGAACGGGUGAGUAACACGUGAGUAACCUGCCCUUGACUGUGGGAUAACUUCAGGAGACUGGGGCUAAUACCGGAUAGGAGCUCCUGCUGCAUGGUGGGGGUUGGAAAGUUUCGGCGGUUGGGGAUGGACUCGCGGCUUAUCAGCUUGUUGGUGGGGUAGUGGCUUACCAAGGCUUUGACGGGUAGCCGGCCUGAGAGGGUGACCGGCCACAUUGGGACUGAGAUACGGCCCAGACUCCUACGGGAGGCAGCAGUGGGGAAUAUUGCACAAUGGGCGGAAGCCUGAUGCAGCAACGCCGCGUGCGGGAUGACGGCCUUCGGGUUGUAAACCGCUUUCGCCUGUGACGAAGCGUGAGUGACGGUAAUGGGUAAAGAAGCACCGGCUAACUACGUG
rnacentral:rRNA from 1 species